GCGAGCCGAUCAAGCCCAG
rnacentral:snRNA from 1 species